AGACCUCUAAUCGGAAAAGACCACCCG
rnacentral:rRNA from 1 species